AACCAAGACCAAAUCUACACGGUUCAUAGUAAAGCUUACAGCGGAAUCCAAAACCAUGCAAGUAGGAAUACAAGCAUUUUUUAAUGUUCUCGUCAUUAGACAGCCUGAGCCGCUAGGUCUUGAUUCUGUGACAAAAACUUUGAAACGAACGUGACGCUUGGCAGCAGCCAAAAGAACAGCCGCAACACCGCGUGAAAACCCAUGGGUAAGAAUAACACUACCAUCUCGAAUAAGAGGGUAACCUAAAUGUGCAAUUCUUUGUCGACAAGCACGAGCACGCUGAAUAAAGAGUUUUCCAUUUUCUACCAAGUGACGUUUGCAUUGCUCAAAAUCCUAAAGCCGUGGAGAAUUAGUAAAGAAAAGAAAACUACUUUGCAUCAACACAUACCCCGACAUCGUGUAGUGAUCGAGUGACAAACCGUUGGAAAAUGUCACAACCAGCUGAAAGCGAAAUGUUGUUUUGAACGCCUUCCUUCAGCGUAUUUGAGCCAUUUUGUAAAAUGUCCAUAAAUUCUGAAAUUGUCUUGGCUAAUAGAAAAACAUCAGUAAAUUCAUUUCUCACAUGAGUACUACAAAUUAACAUACCUUGAGAGCGCGACAAAAGCUGGACUAAAGCCUCAAUGGCGGCUACAGGCAUCGUGAUUUCUGGAUCAUCUUGCAAAAAUUUUUUGUAAACCUGGACGAUGUCAAAUUCUCCUUGAGAAUGUCGAACGAUUCCCGAAGAAUCCGAUUCCACCAUAUUCGCAGAUGCUAGACGCUCUUGCUUAGUAGCAACAUCUUUUCCAUACUUUAAGGAUAUCCAACAAAAUCAAAUAACGGGCAAUGCCUUUUUGUAUUAAAUUGUAAGCUACGCAAUUUGGUAUCUGAUUUAAGGAUACGUAGAACUGCGGUGAGUUUUCCUUGUGAUCUAUUAUAUUACAAU